GAUGAACGCUGGCGGCGUGCCUAAUACAUGCAAGUCGAGCGAACGGACGAGAAGCUUGCUUCUCUGAUGUUAGCGGCGGACGGGUGAGUAACACGUGGAUAACCUACCUAUAAGACUGGGAUAACUUCGGGAAACCGGAGCUAAUACCGGAUAAUAUUUUGAACCGCAUGGUUCAAUAGUGAAAGACGGUCUUGCUGUCACUUAUAGAUGGAUCCGCGCUGCAUUAGCUAGUUGGUAAGGUAACGGCUUACCAAGGCAACGAUGCAUAGCCGACCUGAGAGGGUGAUCGGCCACACUGGAACUGAGACACGGUCCAGACUCCUACGGGAGGCAGCAGUAGGGAAUCUUCCGCAAUGGGCGAAAGCCUGACGGAGCAACGCCGCGUGAGUGAUGAAGGUCUUCGGAUCGUAAAACUCUGUUAUUAGGGAAGAACAAAUGUGUAAGUAACUGUGCACGUCUUGACGGUACCUAAUCAGAAAGCCACGGCUAACUACGUG
rnacentral:rRNA from 1 species